AUGUCCAGCAACCUUGAUGUCCUGCAGAUGACGGAGGAGAAUAUCCUCAAAUUCCUUGAUGGCACCAACCUUGACUUUCAGAUGGAGCAGUAUAUCUACCAUCUACAAAAGGAAAAGGGACAAUGUCUACAUCAUAAAUCUGAAGAGGACCUAGGAGAAGCUGCUGCUCGCAUCUCGAGCUGAUGGCAGCAUCUUCUCCUCCAGGAACACUGGCCAGCAACUGUGCUGAAGUUUGCUGCUGCCAUUAGAGCCAUUCUCAUUGCUGGCCACUUCACACCUGGAACCAUCACUAACCAGAUCCUAGAUGCCUUCAGGGAGGCAUGGCUUCUAGUGGUGACUGACUCAGGGCUGACCACCAGCCCCCACAGAGGCCUCUAAUGACAACCUGCCCACCCUUGCUCUAUGUGACACAGAAUCCCUGAGCUAGUGGGCACUGCCAUCCCAUACAACAAGGGAGCUCACUCAUUUCGUCUAAUAUGGUGGAUGCUGACCUGGGAGGUACUAUCUCCCAUGAACACCCAUGAAAGAUUAUGCCUGAUCAUUUUCACUUCUACAGAGAUUGACAAGGAGGAGCAGGCUAUUGCUGAGAAAGUUGUGAUCCAGGAGAAAUUUUAAGGCAACUGGUGGCCAACUGGUAUGAGGGGGUACAGGUGUUCUCUGUGCCCAUCCAGCAGUUCCCCACUGAAGACCUGAGUGCUCAGCCAAUCACAAAGGAGUGGACAGCAGCUCCCACAACAUAGGCCAUGGAAAGGGUUGUAGCCACCACUGAGUGGUUCUGA
rnacentral:lncRNA from 1 species